rnacentral:rRNA from 1 species
AAAGCGACCGUAGCCGGGCCGAUAAGUCAGAGGUGAAAAGCUGCGGCUCACCGGUAGAUAUGCCCUUGAUACUGUCGGUCUUGAGUCAUGGUGAAAUGGGCGGAAUAUGUAGUGUAGCGGUGAAAUGCAUACAUAUUACAUAGAACACCGAUUGCGAAGGCAGCUCACUAACCAUAUACUGACGCUGAUGGACGAAAGCGUGGGGAGCGAACAGGAUUAGAUACCCUGGUAGUCCACGCCGUAAACGAUGGAUACUAGCUGUCCGGGGCCCUGAGUCCUGGGCGGCCAAGCGAAAGUGAUAAGUAUCCCACCUGGGGAGUACGUUCGCAAGAAUGAAACUCAAAGGAAUUGACGGGGGCCCGCACAAGCGGUGGAGCAUGUGGUUUAAUUCGAUGAUACCCGAGGAACCUUACCAGGGCUUAAAUGCAUUACGACAGGGGCAGAGAUGCCUUUUCCUUCGGGCCGUUUUGCAAGGUGCUGCAUGGUUGUCGUCAGCUCGUGCCGUGAGGUGUCAGGUUAAGUCCUAUAACGAGCGCAACCCCUACCGUUAGUUGCCAGCAUGUCAUGAUGGGGACUCUAACGGGACUGCCGGUGCAAACCGCGAGGAAGGUGGGGACGACGUCAAAUCAUCACGGCCCUUACGUCCUGGGCCACACACGUGCUACAAUGGCAGGUACA